GACGAGACUGAUUUUAUUUUUGGUGCCCUAUGAGCAGCGCGUGACCCGACACUGACAUGGUUAAUUGCUUAAUUAGUGAAUUCAGAUGUUGGGGCGCGGGAGGGGGAGUCCUCAGAGCAGCAGGACGGAGUUGGGAAACUUCGGCUAAAAGUAAAACUACUAAAAGUGGGGGGAAAAGCUGUGGAAUGAGUCUAAAUAAGAUUUUGGCAACAACCAGCAAAGGACAACAUUGCACUGGAGGUUCAAAGAGUGUGAAUAAAGAUUCCAGACGAAAAAGAAGAAGCCCAUUCAUGGCCAGUGGUCUUAAACAGGUGUUCCAGUAAGAAGCCUCUUCUCAUCUUUUAGCACAUCCAGUUUAUAUCUGUAUGGCAUAUAGGUGUGUCAUAUUAGCAGUUUAAUCAAUCAAUCAUUUUACCAACUCAUAUUUUGUAGUUGUUUAUCAGGUGUGUCUCUUUUCGUAAAUAAAUUAAAAUCCAAGGCAUAUUUUUAAAAAUUGAAAGAUGUUUUUCUUUAUAGACUCCUCCAACAACAAAAGGCUUCUUAGCACUGUGAAAGUUUAAGUUUUUAAUCAAAAUAUGUACUAUACAGUCGGUCCCCUAUUGUCUUCACAUAAUGUGUUUGGUGAAACAGAAAGAUGGGAGGUUUUAAGAAAAUCUAAUGUUUGUAGAUUGUUCUCUGUUCUUCCGUUUUUAUGAAAAUGUAAUUUGGGAGAGUUUAGGACAUUCUGUGUGAGCAAGAGAAUUUCCAGAAAACAAAUAUCUGCUGAAUGUCGAAUAUCGAACUAACCUUAGCAAGCUCUGUAUUGA